UACGUAGGGUCCGAGCGUUGUCCGGAAUUACUGGGCGUAAAGAGCUCGUAGGUGGUUUGUCGCGUUGUCCGUGAAAACUCACAGCUCAACUGUGGGCGUGCGGGCGAUACGGGCAGACUUGAGUACUGCAGGGGAGACUGGAAUUCCUGGUGUAGCGGUGAAAUGCGCAGAUAUCAGGAGGAACACCGGUGGCGAAGGCGGGUCUCUGGGCAGUAACUGACGCUGAGGAACGAAAGCGUGGGUAGCGAACAGG
rnacentral:rRNA from 1 species